UGUGACAUCAACACCUAAACCAACAUUUAAACCAUCCUCUAAAAGAAGAGCGUAUGAGUCAACAACCACAUUGAAGCCGUCAUCUUCAGCUAAAUCCAGAACAUCCACAGAACAUCUAUCAACAUUUAAACCAUCCUCUAAAAGAAGAGUCUUUGAGUCAACAACCACAUUGAAGUCGUCAUUUUCUUCAGCUAAAUCCAGAUCAACCACAGCAUCAGACACACACCACUUUAAAACGGGUGUUUGGUGGAGGAUCAUCUAUGUUCCUGUGGGUGUAGCAGCACUCUCAGUCAUCACUGUAUCAGUCUGGAUCUGGACCAGAACAUGAGGAGCAGAAUGAAGAAGAAGUCUUUGAAGACCUGCUUGAUACUCCUUAACUUCACUGAUGAACAUAUUAAAAUAUUUAUCUGCUGCAGUCUUACAAAAGCUACACAGUCAAUUUUAUCUUCAUCUAAUCUUGCUUUAACAGCUUUUCAAAAAAUAAUAUUGCAGCUUUGGAGCAUAAAACGGAAAUAAUAUCACAGAUGAAAUCUGUGAUUUUUAAAUAAACCAUACUCAGAAAAACAUACAUUAAAGACGGCAAAAAAUGUAUUUUGUGUGAUUUAUUUUAAUGGUUAGAGACAUGUAGAGGAUUUAAAUUUAUCUAAAAGACUUAGUUCGACAAUGAGAGACAGAAUGUAGCUAAAGAAUCCAGGAAAGGCAAAAUUGACUUUGUACAUUGUACAAACUAAUCUCAUGCAGCCCCGUCUUCUGUCCCAGUUCUUCUGUCUUCCACUUGAUUCCUGUAAUAAUGGAAGUUGAAUAAACUUCAUAUCAGUUUAAAAGACAACCGUCCUAUCCCGUAAAGUCCCACUCCAAUUACCGUAUUUUCCAGAGUACAAGUCACAGUUUUCUUCAUAGUUUAGCCAUGGGUGCAACUUACACUCAGAAACGUCUUAUUUAUUUAUUUAUUUUUUUUUUUUUUAACAUAAAUAGGCUCAUAUAUUUGUGAUUUUCUACUGAUCUCCCUCCAGAUUGGGUCUGCCUAACUGGGUCCCUAUGCCCUUCAAAUACAGGGUUGGAUCAGGAAGGGCAUCCGGCGUAAACACUCUGCCAUAUCACUGAUGCGAAACAGUGGGGGCUGUUACGCUGUGGCGACCCCUGAUGGGAUAAGCAGAAAGGAGAACAACAACAACCAGUAAACACCGGUUGUCUUUUAACGGUUGUUUCCUCUCCAACCACUAGAGGGAGCUGCAUCUGAGUAUUUGCUGCUGACAGCAGCAGAAGAAGUGGCAUCCAAAACAAAAAUGGAAGAGAAUCUAAUUGU